rnacentral:rRNA from 1 species
UACGGGGGGGGCAAGCGUUGUUCGGUAUUACUGGGCGUAAAGGGCGCGUAGGCGGCCUGCUAAGUCGGAUGUGAAAUCCCUCGGCUCAACCGAGGAACUGCAUCCGAUACUGGCGGGCUUGAAUCCGGGAGAGGGAUGUGGAAUUCCAGGUGUAGCGGUGAAAUGCGUAGAUAUCUGGAGGAACACCGGUGGCGAAGGCGGCAUCCUGGACCGGUAUUGACGCUGAGGCGCGAAAGCUAGGGGAGCAAACGGG